CGAGCACGCGCGUGUGGCAUAUCAAUAAGCGGAGGAAAAGAAACUAACAAGGAUUCCCUUAGUAACGGCGAGUGAAGCGGGAAGAGCUCAAAUUUGAAAUCUUCAAGGUUCUACCUUGACGAAUUGUAGUUUAUAGAAGUGUUUUCUGUUAGUAGAGUGGCAAAAGUUCUUUGGAAUAGGACAUCAUAGAGGGUGAGAAUCCCGUAUUUGGUCAUUCCUCCUAGCGUUGUGAUACACUUUCAACGAGUCGGAUUGUUUGGGAAUGCAGUCCAAAAUGGGUGGUAAAUUUCAUCUAAAGCUAAAUAUUGGCGAGAGACCGAUAGCGAACAAGUACCGUGAGGGAAAGAUGAAAAGAACUUUGAAAAGAGAGUUAAACAGUACGUGAAAUUGUCAAAAGGGAAGCGUUUGACACCAGUGUUGUUUUUCCGAAAAUCAAUUACGAAUGUUUUGUUUUUAAGAAGUUAUGACUUCAUCGGCUUGCUUCUCUCUUUACGAAACUUUCUUAAUGCACUUUUCGGUUAACAAGUCAACAUCAAUUUCUUUUGUUGUAAAAGGGUAUGAGGAAGGUGGCUUUCUUUUCGGAGAAAGUGUUUAUAGCCUUGUACCUCUACAAUCGGAGAGAUUGAGGUCUGCAGCGUAGAUCCUUCGGGGUUAGAUACGUUUGUGCUAAGUUAUAGCUUUUCAUAGACAACUUGUUGACUAUGUUUAGUCUUGUAGCUUACUCGCUGACGCUAUCUUACCUACGCUUAGGAUGUUGAACUCUAUCACACACAG
rnacentral:rRNA from 1 species